CAGCAGGGAGGCUCUGCGACCAGACGGGAGUGCGGGGUGGGGGCACGCAAUCGGUGGCUCCCGUGGAGAUCCCCAAGGUGGGAGCGGUCAGGGUCGGGCGGAAGUGGGGAGGCUGCGCUUCGGCGGAGCGGUGCCGAGGGCUGCGCUACGCGGGACUUCCGUGCUCCGCUGCGGGAAAGUGCGGUGGAGCGGGAAGAGCUCUUACGGCGUACGCGUAGGGUCAGACGCCAGACACCACCACGUCCCGUGGCGCGCCGACAGGUGUAGUUUCCUGUUCCGUGCGCGAUUCCCGUCGCGACCGUUCGGCAGGCGGCGUUUCCAGACGCGCACCGGGAGCACGGGCGUGGUGGUCGGGAGAAACACGGCGGCGCUCCGGGCAUGUUUCCCUGCGGCGGCGGUGGGGGCUCCACACUGGGACUCUUCUUUCUUCCUCCUCCACCAUCGGACACUGCAAAAACGAAGGAGGAAGCCGUGAGACGGGACAUGGGCCGGCUUCUGCGUCUGAAGGAUAUGGGGAUGACAGUUGCGUCCUUUCGUCCAUUUGUUACCACAGAUUUUCCCUUCAAAAAUUCUUAAUUUGUUCCCUUCAAGGUUCCUUGGUUUUUAACCCAUGAAUGUAAUUUUAUAUCCUCUUAUAUUACUGCAGAUUUUCCCUCACAAAAUGCUUCACUUGUCCCCUUCAAGUAACCUCAGAUUUUAAUCCAUAAAUGUAGUUUUAUAUCC